rnacentral:rRNA from 1 species
UACGUAGGGUGCAAGCGUUAAUCGGAAUUACUGGGCGUAAAGCGUGCGCAGGCGGUUUCGCAAGUCAGAUGUGAAAGCCCCGGGCUUAACCUGGGAACUGCAUUUGAAACUACGAGGCUAGAGUGUGUCAGAGGGGGGUAGAAUUCCACGUGUAGCAGUGAAAUGCGUAGAGAUGCGGAGGAACACCGAUGGCGAAGGCAGCCCCCUGGGCUAGCACUGACGCUCAGGCACGAAAGCGUGGGGAGCAAACAGG